UACGUAGGGAGCAAGCGUUGUUCGGAUUUACUGGGCGUAAAGGGCGCGUAGGCGGCAAUUCAAGUCACUUGUGAAAUCUCCGGGCUUAACUCGGAACGGUCAAGUGAUACUGCUUUGCUAGAGUGCGGAAGGGGCAAUCGGAAUUCUCGGUGUAGCGGUGAAAUGCGUAGAUAUCUGGAGGAAUACCGGUGGCGAAGGCGGCGAUCCUGGACCGGCAUUGACGCUGAUGAGCGAAAGCUAGGGGAGCAAACAGG
rnacentral:rRNA from 1 species